rnacentral:rRNA from 1 species
GCAUCGAUGAAGAACGCAGCGAAUUGCGAUAAGUAAUGUGAAUUGCAGAAUUCAGUGAAUCAUCGAAUCUUUGAACGCAGCUUGCGCUCUCUGGUAUUCCGGAGAGCAUGCCUGUUUCAGUGUCAUGAAAUCUCAACCACUAGGGUUUCCUAAUGGAUUGGAUUUGGGCGUCUGCGAUUUCUGAUCGCUCGCCUUAAAAGAGUUAGCAAGUUUGACAUUAAUGUCUGGUGUAAUAAGUUUCACUGGGUCCAUUGUGUUGAAGCGUGCUUCUAAUCGUCCGCAAGGACAAUUACUUUGACUCUGGCCUGAAAUCAGGUAGGACUACCCGCUGAACUUAAGCAUAUCAAUAAGCGGAGGA